CAGUUCGGCGGUCCCUCAGGCAGCUUUGGCUCACAGAACUGCAGUGUUCUCACUCAACACAAACACUGGCUCCUCUUGUUCUCGCUGUGGAUUUCCUUGCUCUGUUUGUGGAAUCGUGGUUUUUUAUGCUGUGUAGUUAUUGAUGUAUGAAGCUUAACUCCUGUGGUUACUGUGAGGCGCAGUUCAUCUCUCAAUCCAAUUCUUCAGAUGGUUUUUCUGGAAAAGAAAUAAAAAGCAACGGAUGCUGAGGUGGGACAGCUUGUCAUGCCAUGGGAAACCCCGUAUUUCUUUGGUUUGG
rnacentral:lncRNA from 1 species